GGUUGCGUGGCCCAGUGGUUAAGGCAUCUGCUUUACAGAACAUUAAACAGUUCACAAUCGCAGAGGAUCGCAGGUUCGAUCCCUGCCGCGAUCA